UACGUAGGGGGCAAGCGUUGUCCGGAUUUAUUGGGCGUAAAGAGCGUGUAGGCGGCCAUGUAGGUCCGUUGUGAAAACUCGAGGCUCAACCUCGAGACGCCGAUGGAAACCAUGUGGCUAGAGUCCGGAAGGAGGAGAGUGGAAUUCCGUGGUGUAGCGGUGAAAUGCGCAGAUAUCAGGAAGAACACCCGUGGCUAAGGCGGCUCUCUAGUACGGUACUGACGCUGAGACGCGAAAGCGUGGGGAGCGAACAGG
rnacentral:rRNA from 1 species